AUGAGGUCAGGAUGAAUGGAAUAACCGGGUUUAGCUGUCUUUGUGUCACUAUAUUGAAUUUACUAUCUAAGUGAAAAAGCUUAGGGUUAAAAAAGGGAGGAGAAGACCCUUAGAAUUUUUUUUAAAAGAAAAUAAAAUUUUCUUACAAUUUUAUUGGGGCGAUAAAGAAAUAAUUAAAACUUUCUUUUAUUACAAGCCGAUUAUAUUAAGUGAGAAUAAAUUACCUGAGGGAUAACAGCAUAAUUCUAUAAAUGAGUUUGUGACCUCGAUGUUGGACUAGGAAACUAGCAGGCUAGCCGUUUGCUGUGUUAGGUUCUGUUCGAACUUUUAUUCCUACAUGAUCUGAGUUCAGACCGGCGUAA
rnacentral:rRNA from 1 species